UACGGGGGGAGCAAGCGUUGUUCGGAUUUACUGGGCGUAAAGGGCGCGUAGGCGGCGCGACAAGUCACUUGUGAAAUCUCUGGGCUUAACUCAGAGCGGCCAAGUGAUACUGCCGGGCUAGAGUCCGGAAGAGGCGAGUGGAACUCCUGGUGUAGCGGUGGAAUGCGCAGAUAUCAGGAAGAACACCAACGGCGAAGGCAGCUCGCUAGGACGGUACUGACGCUGAGACGCGAAAGCGUGGGGAGCGAACAGG
rnacentral:rRNA from 1 species